UCGUCGUGUUGUUCGUCGGCGGA
rnacentral:siRNA from 1 species